GAUGAACGCUGGCGGCGUGCCUAAUACAUGCAAGUCGAGCGAACAGACGAGGAGCUUGCUCCUCUGACGUUAGCGGCGGACGGGUGAGUAACACGUGGAUAACCUACCUAUAAGACUGGGAUAACUUCGGGAAACCGGAGCUAAUACCGGAUAAUAUAUUGAACCGCAUGGUUCAAUAGUGAAAGACGGUUUUGCUGUCACUUAUAGAUGGAUCCGCGCCGCAUUAGCUAGUUGGUAAGGUAACGGCUUACCAAGGCAACGAUGCGUAGCCGACCUGAGAGGGGAUUCGGCAAAACGGAACCUGGACAAGGUCCCAGACCCCAACGGAGGCAGCAGUAGGGAAUCUUCCGCAAUGGGCGAAAGCUUGACGGAGCAACGCCGCGUGAGUGAUGAAGGUCUUCGGAUCGUAAAACUCUGUUAUUAGGGAAGAACAAAUGUGUAAGUAACUAUGCACGUCUUGACGGUACCUAAUCAGAAAGCCACGGCUAACUACGUG
rnacentral:rRNA from 1 species